CAAGUACUCCCUCCGUCCGGAAUUACUUGUCAUCAAAAUGGAUGUGUCUAGAACUAAAAUACAUCUANAAUGGAUGUGUCUAGAACUAAAAUACAUCUAGAUACAUCCAUUUCAAUGACAAGUAUUUUCGGACGGAGGGAGUACAAG
rnacentral:pre_miRNA from 1 species